CGGAACGCCAGGCCCGGACUGAACGCCAGCCUGUCUGCUCCGGGACCGCGUUCUCGCCAGGCAGGUUACACAACAGCAGACUGCAACGGAAUCAGGUUCCACCGAAGGAAAUCACCGCCUUCAUGGCGCUUCGAUUACACCUGAGAUAAGAGGAGGGGAAGGCAAGAAGAUAGCACAGCCUGCCGGGCAGUGGAGGUGCUGGGCCGCGAAAAUGGCUUUAGUCUGUGCAGGGACCGGAAAAGUAAGGAGUAUUCUUCCUGUUUCGAGGACGAGGAAUCCCAGGCUUAGGGGAGAUUGGUCAACGACCUUUGAAUUGAGGCCAUUCGACUUCAGAGGCCAGGUUUCUAAACCUGGUCCUGCUACCCCUGAGCUGUAGAAACUGGACCAAGGUGGCUCGGGUGUGUUGUGACUGGGUGCUGUUCAUUUGUAGAUGGUUGAGGUGAGCUAGGUUUUUUGUUUUGGUUUGGUUUGAUUUUUUACUUACUACGUGCUGGUGUGUAGGAGUAGGCUACGCGUCUUACCAAGCAGAGAUCCUGGUGUUCAACCCUCAUACUCAGUAACGAGCCUCGGCUCUCGUCUCCUUCCAAGUUACGUAAAGGCUGUGUUCUCCGAACUAAUCUUCAGAUUGUAAAAGUCUGACCACUGGUACAAUGAGCCAAAAACUAGCCUUUCUUGCCAAGAUGCAUGGUGAAUGUUUCACAAAAAGGAAUAUUUUAAACUGAGCAUAUUCAUCCUGUGCUCAGCAGGGUCCAGGAAAGUUUUGUGUCCAUGGGGUGAACCCAGGGUUUGCCACAGAAGGAGCCGGUUUUAGGUCAAGUUGCCCUCGGUCUGAGCCAGCCUUCCAGGAGUUUCUGUUUGGUUCUUUUCUGGUAUGAAGGGGUGAACAUUUCGCUCUUGUCUAGUCUGUAUAUUGAUUUAUGACAUUUUUUGAUUUCAUCGAAAUCUCCAGGCCAUGAAGUAUUUUAAGGGAUUUUCCUCCAUGGUACUACAAGGAAUCUCUCCCUUUUAGAAAAUUUAAUGCAAAAUUUCAAAAUUCCAGAAUCCCCAAAAUGACUGCACCUUGGAGUUUAUGAGAUCUCAUUUGUGGUGGAUGAUGACCUAGAGUAUUUGUCCAAACAAGCACAAAUGUCUGGAAACAAUAAACAGAUGACUGGGCAUCCUUUCCUGGACUUUGGAUGUACCUUUCAUACACUGGCAGGAAGCCACAAGGAAAGCUGAGUCAGCACAGAGAAUAGGAGCAGCUACCAGAAAGUUAGGAAUCAGCCUGUGAUUCAUAUGCACCAGCUAAAAGGAAAAAAAAAAAAGCAAGUCUAGUGCCCAAAAUACACCAGCACCUUUUCCAGGGCCCUCCCUCUGGAUGAGCAUGACACCUGGAGAGCUUGUAAGGUCUCAUGGAAAUACUGCACUUCAAGUUAUUUAAGAAGGGUCCGAAGGACGUCCAGCCUCUUGAAGUGAUAAUCAAAUGCAAUCGGACUUCCUUAGAAGCAGCAAAGUUACAGUCGUGGACCAUAUCUGGCAGGGCUUCCAGACUUACAGCACAUGCCAGGCAUAAUUGAAUGUUACAAGAAUAGGAAGUCCUCUCCCAGAAUACUCCCCAUGACAGAUGGCAGAAUUACACCAGGAGAGACCCAGAAGAGGAACACAAGCAAGGGCGCCACAGGCAGUGUGGCACAUGACUGACUACAUUGAUAUAAUCAAAGAUGGAUCAAAUAUGCAACAAAACUAUACUUCAUAAGCAAACACAGAAAAUCAAACAUAAUAAAAUACCUCAAAAGAUUUUCUGUAUUGGCACUAUUAGACAACUGUAAAAUAACUGGACCAUGUACAAAGAAAUACUAUUUAAGCUUAAAGAUAUAGACAUAGUGGAAAAGUAUUAGAAAUGCAACAUUGUACAUUUUAAAAAUAACUAGAAAAAUAUUCUACAGAUUGCAAAGAAUUUAAUCUACUUAAAAUCAUUUAACAGGAAAUUAGACAUACCCUACAAGAAUUACUAAACUGGAAGAUAAAUUAGAAUAAGUUAUCCAGAGUAUAGCACAAUGAAACAAAAUUAGGCAUAACAUGGAAGAGUAAGUAACAGUCAUAGACGAUAGAGUAAGAAAUUUUGAUAUCUAUAAAUCCAGAAUUCAAGAAGGAGGAAAAAGUUGAGUGACCGAAGCAAUACGUAUGUGAAGAAUCACGGGCUGGGGAUUUAGCUCAGUGGUUUCGCCGCCUGCUGCGCAAGCGCAAGGACCCGAGUUAGAUCCCCGGUAUCAAAAAACAAAAACAACCCCACCACCACCACCCGCCGACAUAUGUGAAGAAUCAUUUAAUAGCAAGUUAGACACAGUGAAGACAACGCUGGUAAGUAAGUUGACAGAUCAACAGAAAUACCCACACAGAGAGAUGAAAGAAUUGAAGUUACACAAUAGACCUUUAGGGAUAUAGCGAAAACCAUGAAUAUAUAAUAUAUAGGUAAUCAUAGUUCCACAGUGAGAGGAC
ensembl:lncRNA